UAAUACGUAGGAUCCAAGCGUUGUCCGGAUUUACUGGGUGUAAAGGGUGCGUAGGCGGACUCGUGCGUUAGGGGUUAAAUGCUUCGGCUCAACCGAAGAAAUGCCUUUAAUACGGCGAGUCUUGAGUGCGAGAGAGGAUAGUAGAAUUCCUGGUGUAGCGGUGAAAUGCGUAGAUAUCAGGAGGAAUACCAGUGGCGAAGGCGGCUAUCUGGCUCGUAACUGACGCUGAGGCACGAAAGCGUGGGGAGCAAACAGG
rnacentral:rRNA from 1 species